CCCCCUCCACCGCCGUUGCUGCUUCUUGAUCACAAUAGCCCAUCCACCUCGCCUUCCUUCUUUUCGUUGUCUAUAUGCGGCCGUCGGCGGCGCCUGGUUUCAGAUCGGGCGCAGGUUAGGCGAGCUCGAUGGUGGGUUGCGUGAGGCUACAUCUACAUGCAGAGGGAGUAGGCCGAGGACAGGGUGAAGGAGUAGGCCGGCCCUCAUGGCCAUGGGGGCGGCGCCGUUGGCUUGCCGGACGCCGUCCCUCUCAACCCGAGCUCGCCUCACCCUCGCGGCGACGACCAGUAGCUCGAGUAGGAAGGGUGAGGGGCCAUCAAGAUCUAGCUGGCAGCGUUCUCCCUGGCGUCCGCACACAGAGGACUGGCGGCCUCUGGUCAGUGGUCACCGGUUGGUGCCUCUUCUCUCCUCGUGCCACCGGCCUCCACCUCCUCCAUCCCUCGAUUCAGCCAAGGCGACGGGGAUCAAGAUCCAGGGCGGCACACAUCAUCCUCCCGUUUCCCCUCUGCCUACCACCGAGCCUAGAGAUGGCAGUAGCAAGGAGCAUGAGAGGGGUGACUGGAUCAGGUGGUCCAUGCUGAAGAAGAGGGCGUUCGUCUGAUAAUGUUCAUGGCCUUGUUGUGGUAACACCAUGGUCCGUGGGGAACAAGAAUAACACCUCUGCUACAACCGAAGUCUGGACCUCCACCGACAAUGACAUCUCUAGGUGACUCUACAUAAUUGCAUCUUUAAUUUGUUGGUUGCGCAGUACAUAUUUUGGUCUUUUUUUGCAUGUUUUGUUGACUUCAUCUGCGGCUAGCUGACCGCAGCAUGCUUUACUGACUCAACUAUGAUGACACGGAUGUAAGGGAAACCAUGUGAGUGUAUUUUGGCUGCUUGCCGACGGAAAGUGCCCACUAGAUUCAUAUCUGCUUGAACCAUGAUCCCGCCGUUAAAAUGUGCAACUGUGUAUGGCGCAACAAAGCUUACAUUCCGUGCAUUAAGCUGAACACUCUGAGUGGGCUUAACUAUUUCUGUUGACAAAUCACUUUUGUAACUUAAAAUACAUCGGUGAUUACUGGAGUUCCGGAGAAACAUUCUUCUUAUUGUUUACAUAUGAUCAAGAUAUGGCAAAGCCCUUCAUGGGAUUCAAGGGGAAUAUGCAACAUAUGUGGUGCCUUUUGUAAGCUAAGCCGGGUUAUUGAAGUAAUUGUUCUUCAGUUUUGUCAGUCGUCACAUGAACAUGAUGAACGUGAAGAGACAAUGAAAGAACGAAAGAAGGGGAUAAAGUUCCUUGCAGCACCUAUAGUGAUAGCAUCUCGAGGGAUUGACAGGGGACGCCUGUACCCGUUCGGCCCUCCGCAAGACUUGUCGUCGUCGUUCUUCUCCAAAGAUCUUGUCCCUACAGAGGUUAGCAAAUAAGUGGAAAAGAUAGAGACACAGGGCCUUGGUUUGGUUUCUGUUGGCAAAUAAUCUGGAAUAGUAGCGGUUGCUGCCCACAUGAUUUGUUUUCAUAUACAUUAUAAUUCAGAGGCAGGUUGGAUUCUGGAAAUCAGAGUCAAUGGUGGAUCAGAGAGGCGCCAUAUUAGUUCAGUUGUUAUCUACCUUGAUGCCAUACUAAUUUCUGUGAAUCCAAAAUUGCUGGCACCAGUUCCUGUUGCCUGUUGGUGCAAGGACCCACGCCUUCCAUCUGAGAAAUGUAAAGGAUGGAUCAAUUGGCAUGGUCAGCUCAUGUAUAGUUCUUUGUCUCUCUGGAAGAUGACAUGCAUCUCACCACACAAUCCCAGGUUAAUGGAUUGCGAAAGCUACAAUGUAGAUGCAUUAUGCCUUUAUUUUCUGGGUACUAACUUCAGAUGUCCAGUUUGUUACUGUUACCUGUACCAAUGUAUCCUUAAGAUAAUAACUUUAGAUAAACAAUCUGCUGCGUACUAAUGUAUAUUUCUAUACAAGCUAUCCUUGCAGCUUUUUUAGGCAAGAUAUCCUCAAUGGCUGUUACGCCUUGG